rnacentral:lncRNA from 1 species
UCAAAACCCUGUCCUGGGGAGACAAUUGGGUAUGUCCAGGUGCAGUUGUUCAAUGUGAUUUAGUCCCUACCAGGAGGUCUGGUUGCCUGGGUUCAGAACAGCAGAGGAAAAAUUAGACAAAAGACACAUUCAGAAGUCAAGGUGCUCUGACAGUUCAGCAGACAUAUGACCUAACUUCAACCAGCAGACAGGAUCUGACCUAGGAAAGAUGAAGACAAAAACCAGAUCUCAAACAGAUGUAUUGUAGUUCAAGGUAGGGCAAUCAGACCUGUAGGAAGACUGAGCAGGCCACUGAAUUGGGCCCCCGAAAGAGAAGCCCAGACAUGAGGACUGGACCCACCCAGGAACUGGGAGUAAAGCAAUUUGGGGACAGUUGGGUCCUAGGCCUCGCCUCUAGGAAACCUGGAUUGCCCAGUCGGUGCUGAAGGUGUCUCAGAUCUGCUUGGAUCUAUAAUAUUGGACCUGAUUUUCUAUGCAGGUACAGUCACAUUUAUGUCUUUUAAUAAUAGAGUUCAUCCAUCAUACAAGAUUGAUGAUCCCUGCAGAAGUUAAAAGUCUAGGAAUAAGAAAUUUGCACUUUAAAGAAGUCUUUCCUUUGUCUUACGGCUUCCAGAAUUCCUGAUGAGGAGUCUGCUAUCAAUCUUAUCUUGUGGCUUUGAAGUGAUAAUGUCAUUCUCACCUGUAAUCCCAGCACUUUGGGAGGCUGAGGCC